AUCGCUUCUUGGCCUUUGGGCUAAGAACAAAUGUAGUAUCUAUUCUUACCAGUUUAAUAUAUGAUAUGUCCUUUAUCUGAGGACAAUAUAUUAAAUGGAUAUUUGGAGCAAGGAAUUAGAAUAGAAGCUUGCCCUGUCCACUCUGUGCAUUGACCUGGUAUUCCAGUACUUGCAGGAAUGGUACACCUCUG